UGAUAAAGCUCCCCUUGUGCUCAUGAAGAUGAUGACGGCACAAAUCUGGGAUGGCCUACUUUCCGAGGCGGCUCACAGAUGACUAAACGAGAAUCAGGAUCUUUAUUUUCCUUCAGAGAGGCUCCAAAAACGGAUACCAAUUUCAAAGACAGAUUAAGUCAGGAAAGUGGGAGAGAGACUGGGAUGACAAAGGGCCGUGGGUCGGAACCGAACCUCUGGCAGCUGCAACAAGGACUGAGCCUCUGGACAUGGGGCGCACGCUCAACCAGUUCAUUGUCAUCUACACAGCGUGACCCUCCAGAGGAUAAAGACCACUGACUUUGGGGAUUUCCUGACUUUUCCUGAAGAGCCACCAUGAGGUUGACAUUUGUGGCUUUUGGGUGAAAUGUCUCGACAACGAAGGGAUGGAUUGCUAUGAAAUUUGGUUCUGAUAUCCAUGUCCCCUUCAGGAUGAAGUGUAAUAACCUAAGUGAUCCCUUAGGUCGGUUACACACUGGCUGCGUGGCGUGAGCGUGGCGUUUCUGUUGCGUGUCAGCUGCGUGUAUUUUUCUAUGUCUUUACACA